CUGGAUGAUGUCGAUGAAUACUGUAACCGGAUGUUUUUAUUUCACUGGUGAACAGGUAAUACAGUAUUCCACAAAUUAAAAUUGGUGAUGUUACAUCAUGGAACAGUAGUGUGUAUUUAUUAAAUUCAAAAUGAUUAUUUGUGGAGAAUUCUUUUAGAUAUGUUUUAAUUUUGUGGUGUCUGAAAGAUUUAUUUUAUCGCGGUAGUGAAGAUUUUAUAAUGUGUUUUGGUGGCGUGAUAAUUCGGCAUGUGUACCAGAGUUUACUGAGUAUUUUUUGAUGGAUUUAGUUCUGAUCCAGAGGCAGAGCCAAAAGAUUCUAUGUCUUCUAUAAGGUGUGAGUUCACCCUUCAGAUAAAUGUUGUUCAACACCUCUACAAAGUCAUCACCUAUUAUGUUCCAGAAAGUUAGAUAAAAGGAUUUUGAUAGGCCAUCUAUGCCUGGAGACUUGUUAUUUUUAAAUUGUUUUAGGGCACUUAGCGCUUCUUCAUUUGUUAUCAAAUGUGAUAUUUGUUCUCUAUCUUCAAGUGUAAUUUUUGAUAGGUUAUUUUUGUUUAGAUAUGUAUCUAUUGU